rnacentral:rRNA from 1 species
UGCCAGCAGCCGCGGUAAUACGGAGGGUGCGAGCGUUAAUCGGAAUCACUGGGCGUAAAGCGUGCGUAGGCGGCGCAUCAAGUCAGACGUGAAAGCCCUCGGCUCAACCGAGGAAUUGCGUUUGAAACUGGUGUGCUAGAGUCUCGGAGAGGUUAGGGGAAUUCCAGGUGUAGGAGUGAAAUCCGUAGAUAUCUGGAGGAACACCGGUGGCGAAGGCGCCUAACUGGACGAGUACUGACGCUGAGGUACGAAAGCGUGGGGAGCAAACAGGAUUAGAAACCCCCGUAGUCC